CUUAUCAAAUCAUAAUAAUUUCCAAAUAAUAAUAAACAACAACAACAAUAAUAAUAAUAUUAAUUCUUCGAUCCUCGAAAAAUUAAUAUAAUCAAAUUAUUCUCAUAGACAAAUAUCCCAAAAUAAUAUGAGUCAUAAUGUUUCAACUAAUUAUAUCAUUCAAAUCGAAUAAAAUAUUUAAAACGAAACCGAACCAAUCUACGCUAAACUAAGGUAGAUAUUCAGAUGACUCAAAUAUCCCCAAGCAAUCUAGCACUCCCCCGAGUUCUGAGAAAUUAUGAUUUCAGAUUUGAAAAAAAAAAGAAUUAUGAGCUACACUAGCACAGUAAGUAACGCAAUAAAUCAAAAUAGGGCUUAAACAUGUCAAAUAAAUAAAUAAUCAAAUAGCAUAAUACUAACUAGAAAGAAAUCAAAUUUUGAAUAAUAUUAUAUAUAUAUAUUAAAAUUUAAACCACUAUUCUAAUCACCGGUGGCUCAGUGUCGAAACUAAUUUUUUAUAUUACAAAUUGACAGGACCAACGUAUAAUCUCCAUUAGAGAGGUCAGAUCAUAACCAUACCGAGAAAAU
rnacentral:lncRNA from 1 species